CAACCUGCCUUUCAUGGGGGAUAACGUCUGGAAACGGACGCUAAUACCGCAUGACACAUGACUGUGGCAUCACAGACAUGUCAAAGGAGCAAUUCGCUGAAAGAUGGGCUCGCGUAUGAUUAGAUAGUUGGUGAGGUAACGGCCCACCAAGUCGACGAUCAUUAGCCGGACUGAGAGGUUGAACGGCCACAUUGGGACUGAGACACGGCCCAG
rnacentral:rRNA from 1 species